ensembl:lncRNA
GCCGCCGCCGUGUGCCUGCUGUGCGCCCUCACGCCCGCGGUCGCGCUGGCCUGGCUGAUCCGCAAGAGGAGCCUCUAGGCGAGACGGGCGCUGGCCGGAGCGGGGAGCAGGCGGGACGCGCAACAGGGGCGGAACGUGUGCCAGUGGAAUUGUAAUCCAUUUAGAUCAAGAAGUUACAUGCUGCUGCGUCAGCUGUGAGCAGAGCUCCUUCUGCCAACUGCUAUGGGGGCACAGGCUCAGCUUUUGCCAGGGCUUUACACAGGUGGUACCAACCAUGGCCUCGUGUGGUGUUCCUGAAUAAGGAUGAGCUAAAGAAGUGCUGAGAUCAGAGCAGGGACCCCCACCUGGCUCAGCUCGUGCCCGUCCCACGCAGCUUGCUCUUUUCAGGUGAGCAGCAGCUUAGCAGUCCCUGUGAGAAAACGGUAGGAUUUAAGGCCAGAGAGUUCAAAGUGAUCGGGAAGCGUAGAUGUCCGGCUCUAUAAAAGCAAUGGGAUGUGCCAGGGCUGGCUGAGAUGGUAUUGCAAAUAUCAGCCAGUGUGACCUGUGGUCUCCCAGCCUGACUGCUCAACACAUGAAAUGAACACAGGAGGUGUUCUGAGCGGGUCCUGCAUCACCCCACGUGCCCAGGAGGGGAGGGAUACGUCACCAAAGGGAACGUUGUUCAAAGCAAAAUGAUUUUUUUGCUGUCUCACAUUUUCAGUCCAUGUUUUCACUAGACACUGUACGUGGCUUAAAGGAAGUCAGUUGUAAUUCCUUCCUUAUUAAUGAAAAAAGAAAUGGGUAACAGUGGACAAUCCUGCCAGAAAGUUUUGAUGUUAUAGGAGCAGCGUGUGAAAUAAACCCGUUUUCAGCAGCACUGCAGAGGGAGCACGUUGGCACUCCUGUCAACCUACCAUCCACCCCACUAUUGCAAGCGGGAUGCGGUUUGGCUUUACUGAGCCUUUUUCAGACCCAAAGCACCAAAUCUGAUCUAUCUGCUGAGUGCCUAUUGUGGGAAAUUUGGAGUAACUCCACUGAAGUCAAAUGGGUUGCCCUGGAUUUACAGUGCUGUAAGUGAGAUCAGAAUUUGGCUCCAAGUAUAUUCCAUUAAUGAGUCAGAUACUGGCGCUGCAGCCAGCGUGCACCCAGAAAUGGCUUUCACACAGCCCAGGGUAUUCAGAGUUGUUUUAUAGGCGGACGGGCUGAAGGCCAGGAUUCUGGGGCUCUCUUUUAUUCUUUCUAUGAAAUUCACCUUUCCGCAGAAGGCCAGCAUGAGGCUGAUGCAAAACCAAAGAGCCAUUUAAUCUCUCAAACACUGAGCUCGUGAGACGCGUGAACAUCGAGCUGAGCUCCCUGCCUGCCCCGCAGCAGAUUUAUCACCCGGAGUUCAGAAUGUUGUAGGAUUUAUCAACUUUUACGGGUUUUUAAAGAUUUUCUGUACGUUAAGUGACACAGAGAGGCAGUCUGUAAAAUAUAAUGACACCGCGGAGGAUCUGUGGUGGGCUGAGCAGGGCAGAGCAGGGCAAGGGAUCGGGGCUGGUGUUUGGGAGUGCUGCUCCAGGAGAAGCAAUGAAUGCGGACUGAGUGCUUUUGCUUGGAAGAAAUUGUUGAAUGAAAUCCUGAAGUCUUUACUCAAAGGUAACACGAGUAAAUAGCUGUGUGUGUGCAAGCACUGACGUUGCUAGCUUGCAACCAGAGGGCUCAGGACCCUACAGCCGCUCCGGCUGUGCCGUGCCUUCCCAUCAGCAGACAUGGUGUGUUUUAAAGGCCUCUCUAUAAAGUCAGUGUGUGUGAGAAGUGUAGGAGCUGGGAAUCCCCUCCUUGGGACGUUCCAUCGGGCUGGAGGCAGCGGGGCACUUCAGCUGUGUGUGUGCAAACCUGUGUACGUGCAGGUAGGGAAGCUGUAGGAACGGUGCGGCUCACUGGUAGCACUCAUCACAGCAGGACUGGUGAAAGUGUGCUUCACGUCUCGGUGAUUCAUUCUGGCUUCAGUCCUUCGAGCUGUUUGUGCUGUUGCUUUGGAUUCCUCAACACUAGAAAAGCCAUAAACAGAAGGGGAG